GAAACGACGCCGCUAGACUGCCGAAAUUUUCUGUCGCCGCCGGCCGCGCCCCUCGCCGUGCCCACCCGCUCCGUCGUGCCCCUCACCAUGCCCACCCGCUCCGCAGCACCCUCCACGCCCCGUCGCCCGCUCCGACCAGCCUGAUCCCGGCCUUGCUAACGCCGUGCUGCGACCCCGGUAGCCUCGGGGAGCCCGCCUGCUGCCUGCUCCAUCGAUGGUGGCCGCCUCCACCGUGCGUUCAGGAGCCGCGCCGCCUCCCACGCCUCACCACCUCCCCCGCCGUGCACACCGAGGACCCCGCACCCCCGUGGAGCCGCCUCCACGCGCAGCGCCCCAAGGAGCCGCCACGCCGCGCCCUGAGGAGCCACCCCACCGUGCCCCGAGGAGCCACCUCCAUGCGCCGCCGCCGCACUGCCUUCCAACCUUCUGCCCCGCCACGCACACCGCCGGGCAAGUUUUCUUUUUUUGGUUAAUCAAACUCAAAAUUGCAUUUUAGAAUACAAAUUUUAGGAAUGUUGGAAUGCUUUAUGACAAUUACAGGAAUACAGGGAUUUUGUUAAGUCAAUAUUGCAAUUACAUGAUUUUUAUGUCUUAUUUGCAAAUUGUAGGAAUUUUUUAUGUCUUAUUUCUAUAUUGCAAUUACACGAUUUUGUAUUCUCUUAUUUGCAAGUUUGCAAUAUAUAUAGGAAUUUUUUACUUAAAUUGCAGGAAUAUAUUUGAUUUUAGAAAUAUUGGAAUUUAGAGAUUUUGGCAAUAUAGAAUACAGGAAUAUAGAAAUUUUAGCAAUAUCGGAGUUUAGAAAUUAUAUCAAAUAUAGGAAUAUAGAAAUUUUAUGCUCUUGGAUUUGUACUUAAUAGCAAUGGCGAACAACAAAAACAUAGAAGAUGAAGAGGUCGAACGCCAAUCAUCGUCCUCAUCCUCGGAUUCGUCCGAGGACAGCGGACAAGAUCCAUAUGAGUACCGUGACACCCCACUCGAGGAUGAGCAAAGUUCCCAACCGCCGCGUGAGAGGCAAGAAGAAGACGACCCUGAAUACGAACCGGUCGUUGAGGAUGAGCAACAACAAUCGCCAGUGCACUACGGACGGCGACGUCGGCCAUCCAGUAGCAAUGAAGAGCAAGCAGGUGCCUCUGCACCACAACCUUAUGCAACAACGGCCUCUGUGAGUAGCCAGACAAAACGAAAGCACGGUCAGUGAAGCCGCAACCAAAUACCUGAAGGCACUCAUGUAAUCGAAGAGCUUGGUCCGAAAGGGGAGCCCAUCGCACCUGUAGGGAUAUCCGCUAAAUAUAGAAACACGCUUGGAGCCAUUGUCCGGGAUACCCUGCAUGACAUCAUAACCACGGACAAUUGGAAGUUGGUGCCACAAUCAAGGAAGGAAGUUUUGUGGGCUAAGGUGCAAGAAAGUUUCCAAUUCCCCGAAGGGUAAGCCAACAUGGCCAAAAAAUAUGCACUGAGCCUCCUAGGAAAAUGCUUCCAUACUUGGAGGUCUGUUGACUAUGUCCAGAAGGGGAAGGGUGCGAGGGUAGAUUAUGGAAGGAUUCCUGAUGACAUUUGAAAUGAGUUUGUGGAAUGGAAGAACAGUGCGGAGGCCAAAGCUUUGAGUGCACAAAUGGUAGAGAAGGCUUUGGAAAAUGCUAAGAAUCCGCAUCACCUGAGAUCCGGUGGAUACGCUCCAAAGAUCCCUAAAUGGAGGAAGGAAGAAGAAGAAAGGAAGAUUGCUGGUUUACCAGACGCGUUGGAGGGUUUGGACAAGCAUAGCAGGAACUAGGCCCUAGCUCGACAACAUAUCCAAACACCCGAGGGGGUUACAUUCAGAAAUCCAACAACCACGGAGAUUUACAACAGGCUUCAACAAAUCGCCGAGCAGCAAAAGCUUGGUCUUUUCAAGCCUGAUCGAGAGAAGGACCAGCUUACCGCGGCGAUCGGUACACCGGAGCACACUGGUUUUGCAGAACCUCGUCACCAAUGAGCCUCAUCGGUGACAUUUUCGCAAAGCAGCGUCACUGAUAUGGUUAAAAUAGAGACGUGUCUUCUUAAUAGCCAUUUUUUAUUACUCUUGGCCAUUUAGAAAAACAUUUCUCAACUGGAAUUGUACAAUACAACUGCAUCGAAGUUUUUUUAUCAUUACAGAAGCAGAACAUGCAGAUACAUGGUAACAUCCUGAAGUUACAGAUUUACAUUGUCC